rnacentral:rRNA from 1 species
GACGAACGCUGGCGGCGUGCCUAAUACAUGCAAGUAGAACGCUGAAGAGAGGAGCUUGCUCUUCUUGGAUGAGUUGCGAACGGGUGAGUAACGCGUAGGUAACCUGCCUGGUAGCGGGGGAUAACUAUUGGAAACGAUAGCUAAUACCGCAUAAAAUUGAUUAUUGCAUGAUAAUUAAUUGAAAGAUGCAACUGCAUCACUACCAGAUGGACCUGCGUUGUAUUAGCUAGUUGGUGAGGUAACGGCUCACCAAGGCGACGAUACAUAGCCGACCUGAGAGGGUGAUCGGCCACACUGGGACUGAGACACGGCCCAGACUCCUACGGGAGGCAGCAGUAGGGAAUCUUCGGCAAUGGGGGGAACCCUGACCGAGCAACGCCGCGUGAGUGAAGAAGGUUUUCGGAUCGUAAAGCUCUGUUGUAAGAGAAGAACGGGUGUGAGAGUGGAAAGUUCACACUGUGACGGUAUCUGACCAGAAAGGGACGGCUAGCUACGUG